ensembl:snoRNA SNORD114-27 small nucleolar RNA, C/D box 114-27
UGGUUCAGUGGUGACUACUGGUGUCAUCUGAGUCAUACGAUGAAUACGUGUCUGGAACUCUUGAAGUCCAU